rnacentral:rRNA from 1 species
AUUGAACGUUGGCGGCAUGCCUUACACAUGCAAGUCGAACGGUAACAGGUCUUCGGAUGCUGACGAGUGGCGAACGGGUGAGUAAUGCAUCGGAACGUGCCCAGUCGUGGGGGAUAACUGCUCGAAAGAGCAGCUAAUACCGCAUACGACCUGAGGGUGAAAGCGGGGGACAGGACGGCCUCGCGCGAUUGGUGGGGCCGAUGUCAGAUUAGCUAGUUGGUGGGGUAAAGGCCUACCAAGGCAACGAUCUGUAGUUGGUCUGAGAGGACGACCAGCCACACUGGGACUGAGACACGGCCCAGACUCCUACGGGAGGCAGCAGUGGGAAAUUUUGGACAAUGGACGCAAGUCUGAUCCAGCCAUGCCGCGUGAAGGAUUAAGGUCCUCUGGAUUGUAAACUUCUUUUAUAAGGGACGAAAAAAGGCUUUUCUAAGUCGUCUGACGGUACCUUAUGAAUAAGCACCGGCUAACUCCGUGCCAGCCGCCGCCGUAAUAC